UACGAAGGGGGCUAGCGUUGUUCGGAAUUACUGGGCGUAAAGGGUGCGUAGGCGGGGCUUUAAGUCAGGGGUGAAAUCCUGGAGCUCAACUCCAGAACUGCCUUUGAUACUGAAGAUCUUGAGUUCGGGAGAGGUGAGUGGAACUGCGAGUGUAGAGGUGAAAUUCGUAGAUAUUCGCAAGAACACCAGUGGCGAAGGCGGCUCACUGGCCCGAUACUGACGCUGAGGCACGAAAGCGUGGGGAGCAAACAGG
rnacentral:rRNA from 1 species